rnacentral:rRNA from 1 species
UACGGAGGGGGCUAGCGUUGUCCGUAAUCAUGGGGCGUAAAGCGCGUGUAGGCGGUCCGGUAAGUCCGCUGUGAAAGUCGGGGGCUCAACCCUCGGAUGCCGGUGGAUACUGUCGGGCUUGAGUACGGAAGAGGCGAGUGGAAUUCCUGGUGUAGCGGUGAAAUGCGCAGAUAUCAGGAGGAACACCAAUUGCGAAGGCAGCUCGCUGGGACGUUACUGACGCUGAGACGCGAAAGCGUGGGGAGCAAACAGG